rnacentral:lncRNA from 1 species
AUCAAGAACGAAAGUCAGAAGUUUUUUUUAACAGUCCGGGUGCAGUGGCUCAUGCUUGUAAUCCCAGCACUUUGGGAUAUGCAUACAUAGAUUUACAUACAUAUACAAAGGAGGCUGAGGCAGGGGAUCACCCGAGGUCGGGAGUUCGAGACCAGCCUGACCAACAUGGAGAAACCUCAUCUCUACUAAAAAUACAAAAAUUGGCAGGGCAUGGUGGCGCAUGCCUGUAAUCCCAGCUACUCGGGAGGCUAAGGCAGGAGAAUUGCUUGAACUCGGAAGGCAGAGGUCGAGGUGAGCCGAGAUGGUGCCACUGCACUCCAGCCUGGGCAAUAAGAGUGAAACUCCAACUCAAAAAAAAAAAAAAGAGAGAGAGAGAGAAAGAUGUAGAAUGACAAGAAGGAGAAAUUAGGCCUUCUAUUUUCAGACAGGCUGGACAAAUCCUGCAGAAGGAGUCAUUAUUGAACUUUGUGUCAGUUGGGUCCUCUGGGCAGCAGAUGCAGAGACAAAAUAAGAUUUUGGUGGUUGGGGGCAGUAACCCCUGUGAAAGACAAAUGAGGAAGGAAGCAGAAUUGGAUAGGAAAAGCCUCAAACCAUGAUGUAGCAUGUAUCAGAAUUUCCUUCCUUUUAAAGGCUGAAUAAUAUUCCAUUGUAUGAAUAUAUCCCAUUUUAUUUAUCUAUUCAUCCAUCGAUGGACAUGUGGGUCACUCUCA